AUGAUUUCCCUCGUAAAGCCAUAU
rnacentral:siRNA from 1 species